rnacentral:ncRNA from 1 species
GAUCGGUGAUGACGCAAUGUGAUUUCUGCCCAGUGCUCUGAAUGUCAAAGUGAAGAAAUUCAAUCAAGCGCGGGUAAACGGCGUAUGCGGCGUCUCGGUCAAGGUCGCUCUGAUAACUGGUUUUCGAAUAACUCCGGUGUGAAAAAUGAUGAACAACUCUGUAAAUCCAGCGCAAGGAAAAACUAAAACUGUCGCUGGC